UACGGAAGAUGCGAGCGUUAUCCGGAUUUAUUGGGUUUAAAGGGUGCGUAGGCGGUCCGUUAAGUCAGCGGUAAAAUUGCGGGGCUCAACCCCGUCGAGCCGUUGAAACUGGCAGACUUGAGUUGGCGAGAAGUACGCGGAAUGCGCGGUGUAGCGGUGAAACGCAUAGAUAUCGCGCAGAACUCCGAUUGCGAAGGCAGCGUACCGGCGCCAGACUGACGCUGAGGCACGAAAGCGUGGGGAUCGAACAGG
rnacentral:rRNA from 1 species